rnacentral:lncRNA from 1 species
ACAGGGGAAGAUGGACUUAUAUGAUACACUGUAAGAUGAGCUAUACAGUAAGAUUGCAGCUUCAUCUAGUCACCCCAUACUACAGUACUGUUAUCUGAUGUGCUUUACAAAGUGUGGCUGCCCAAACCAGCUCAGAGCUUUUAACCACUGUAGAAUGUGUCAAGGAUAUGAGGGAGGACAGGUAUCAUUGUGUGGAUAUAAAGAAGGGCUGUGUGAUGAUCUUCUUUAGCACAGAGUUCAAAGACCUAGAUAAUGUCAACACUGGUAAGGUGUUUAUGCAGGUUAUCCCUAUAUGAUGGCGAAGAGAAGUGCACAUCUCAUCCCUGGGUGAAAUGCCGUACGGGUCCGGGGCGCCAUUGGUGAAGCGCAGACGUCAGCUUGGAACUGUUGAUGAUGUUCCAGUCCAAGUGCGCAGUGGUUUCCUCCGAGAUGGAGAUGAAGUUUCCUCCGAGAUGGAGAUGAUUUUAUUUUGUUGCCUUUAGUUGUCCGUCCGGAAUCGUCGGGUUUGAUAUUCAGCCAGCUGAAACCGAGCAGAAACGAAGAGAAGUCAGAUGUCGUCGCACGCUACCUUCCUCCAGAAGUCGUCCUUCGCCGUGUUACUAUUCCAGAUGUCGUCCCACGCUACCUUCCUCCAAACGAAGUUGUCCUUCGCUGUGUUACUAUUCCAGAUGUCGUCGCACGCUACCUUCCUCCAGAAGUCGUCCUUCGCCGUGUUACUAUUCCAGAUGUCGUUGCACGCUACCUUCCUCCAGAAGUCGUCCUUCGCCGUGUUACUAUUCCAGAUGUCGUCCCACGCUACCUUCCUCCAAACAAAGCUGUCCUUCGCUGUGUUACUAUUCAAGAUGUCGUCCCACGCUACCUUCCUCCAAACGAAGUUGUCCUUCGCUGUGUUACUAUUCCAGAUGUCAUCGCAUGCUACCUUCCUCCGAACGAAGUCGUCCUUCGAUCGCCAUGUUACCAGUCCAGUUACCUUACUCCACCUACGAGAUGUUCGAUGUCGACGCAUGCUACCCAACUCCAUCCAGGAUAUUGACUCUUCUGCACGUGUCACCAUAGUCUCAGUUUCAUAGACUCUUAGGACUAUAAGUCAUGUGAUAUUCUGACUUGAGAAUUUUAUGGUCGAUUUUUGCAAUUAAUAAACACUAUUUUUGAAACACAAAUCUGCCUCUUUAUUUCUGAAGGACAGGGAUAUACUUUCCCAUACGAAACAUCUAAGUUCCCACGUCGCGCUCGG